CCCUUAGAGUUUGAUCCUGGCUCAGAUUGAACGCUGGCGGCAUGCCUUACACAUGCAAGUCGAACGGCAGCACGGGGGCAACCCUGGUGGCGAGUGGCGAACGGGUGAGUAAUACAUCGGAACGUGCCCAGUAGUGGGGGAUAGCUCGGCGAAAGCCGGAUUAAUACCGCAUACGACCUAUGGGUGAAAGCGGGGGAUCGCAAGACCUCGCGCUAUUGGAGCGGCCGAUGUCAGAUUAGGUUGUUGGUGGGGUAAAAGCCUACCAAGCCGACGAUCUGUAGCUGGUCUGAGAGGACGACCAGCCACACUGGGACUGAGACACGGCCCAGACUCCUACGGGAGGCAGCAGUGGGGAAUUUUGGACAAUGGGCGAAAGCCUGACCCAGCCAUGCCGCGUGCGGGAAGAAGGCCUUCGGGUUGUAAACCGCUUUUGUCAGGGAAGAAAUCUUUCGAGCUAAUACCUUGAGAGGAUGACGGUACCUGAAGAAUAAGCACCGGCUAACUACGUGCCAGCAGCCGCGGUAAUACGUAGGGUGCAAGCGUUAAUCGGAAUUACUGGGCGUAAAGCGUGCGCAGGCGGUUGUGCAAGACAGGUGUGAAAUCCCCGGGCUUAACCUGGGAACUGCACUUGUGACUGCACAGCUGGAGUACCGCAGAGGGGGAUGGAAUUCCGCGUGUAGCAGUGAAAUGCGUAGAUAUGCGGAGGAACACCGAUGGCGAAGCAGUCCCCUGGGCCUGUACUGACGCUCAUGCACGAAAGCGUGGGGAGCAACAGAUUAGAUACCCUGGUAGUCCACGCCCUAACGAUGUCAACUGGUUGUUG
rnacentral:rRNA from 1 species